rnacentral:snoRNA from 1 species
AACACUCAAAGACGGGUGCAAGAAUAAAUUCCCUUUGCAACCCAAAACUCAUUGUGCAGUAUGAGUUUUGAUACAGAUAAGAAGGGACAUG